ACGCUAGCUACAGGCUUAACACAUGCAAGUCGAGGGGCAGCAUGGUCUUAGCUUGCUAAGGCCGAUGGCGACCGGCGCACGGGUGAGUAACACGUAUCCAACCUGCCGUCUACUCUUGGACAGCCUUCUGAAAGGAAGAUUAAUACAAGAUGGCAUCAUGAGUCCGCAUGUUCACAUGAUUAAAGGUAUUCCGGUAGACGAUGGGGAUGCGUUCCAUUAGAUAGUAGGCGGGGUAACGGCCCACCUAGUCUUCGAUGGAUAGGGGUUCUGAGAGGAAGGUCCCCCACAUUGGAACUGAGACACGGUCCAAACUCCUACGGGAGGCAGCAGUGAGGAAUAUUGGUCAAUGGGCGAGAGCCUGAACCAGCCAAGUAGCGUGAAGGAUGACUGCCCUAUGGGUUGUAAACUUCUUUUAUAAAGGAAUAAAGUCGGGUAUGGAUACCCGUUUGCAUGUACUUUAUGAAUAAGGAUCGGCUAACUCCGUGCCAGCAGCCGCGGUAAUACGGAGGAUCCGAGCGUUAUCCGGAUUUAUUGGGUUUAAAGGGAGCGUAGAUGGAUGUUUAAGUCAGUUGUGAAAGUUUGCGGCUCAACCGUAAAAUUGCAGUUGAUACUGGAUAUCUUGAGUGCAGUUGAGGCAGGCGGAAUUCGUGGUGUAGCGGUGAAAUGCUUAGAUAUCACGAAGAACUCCGAUUGCGAAGGCAGCCUGCUAAGCUGCAACUGACAUUGAGGCUCGAAAGUGUGGGUAUCAAACAGGAUUAGAUACCCUGGUAGUCCACACGGUAAACGAUGAAUACUCGCUGUUUGCGAUAUACUGCAAGCGGCCAAGCGAAAGCGUUAGGUAUUCCACCUGGGGAGUACGCCGGCAACGGUGAAACUCAAAGGAAUUGACGGGGGCCCGCACAAGCGGAGGGACAUGUGGUUUAAUUCGAUGAUACGCGAGGAACCUUACCCGGGCUUAAAUUGCAGAUGAAUUACGGUGAAAGCCGUAAGCCGCAAGGCAUCUGUGAAGGUGCUGCAUGGUUGUCGUCAGCUCGUGCCGUGAGGUGUCGGCUUAAGUGCCAUAACGAGCGCAACCCUUGUUGUCAGUUACUAACAGGUUCCGCUGAGGACUCUGACAAGACUGCCAUCGUAAGAUGUGAGGAAGGUGGGGAUGACGUCAAAUCAGCACGGCCCUUACGUCCGGGGCUACACACGUGUUACAAUGGGGGGUACAGAGGGCCGCUACCACGCGAGUGGAUGCCAAUCCCCAAAACCUCUCUCAGUUCGGACUGGAGUCUGCAACCCGACUCCACGAAGCUGGAUUCGCUAGUAAUCGCGCAUCAGCCACGGCGCGGUGAAUACGUUCCCGGGCCUUGUACACACCGCCCGUCAAGCCAUGGGAGCCGGGGGUACCUGAAGUGCGUAACCGCGAGGAGCGCCCUAGGGUAAAACUGGUGACUGGGGC
rnacentral:rRNA from 1 species